rnacentral:misc_RNA from 1 species
AAGUCGUAACAAGGUUUCCGUAGGUGAACCUGCGGAAGGAUCAUUAUAAAAUUUUUCUUGCAUAUUUUUUUAAAAUGUGUAAAAAAAAAUCUUGUAUUCAAAACCCACACUCUUUAAAACCCAUAAUAAAAAAAUUUUUAUGUUAUAUAUACAUGAAAUUUUUUUAUUUAAAAAUAAUAUAAUAAAUAAAAAGACAACUUUCAACAACGGAUCUCUUGGCUCUC